CAGUAGCCGCGGUAAUACGUAGGUGGCAAGCGUUGUCCGGAAUUAUUGGGCGUAAAGGGCUCGCAGGCGGUUUCUUAAGUCUGAUGUGAAAGCCCCCGGCUCAACCGGGGAGGGUCAUUGGAAACUGGGAAACUAGAGUGCAGAAGAGGAGAGUGGAAUUCCACGUGUAGCGGUGAAAUGCGUAGAGAUGUGGAGGAACACCAGUGGCGAAGGCGACUCUCUGGUCUGUAACUGACGCUGAGGAGCGAAAGCGUGGGGAGCGAACAGGAUUAGAUACCCCCGUAGUCCCUGUCUCUUAUAC
rnacentral:rRNA from 1 species